rnacentral:rRNA from 1 species
GUGGGGAAUAUUGGACAAUGGGCGAAAGCCUGAUCCAGCCAUGCCGCGUGUGUGAAGAAGGUCUUCGGAUUGUAAAGCACUUUAAGUUGGGAGGAAGGGCAGUAAGUUAAUACCUUGCUGUUUUGACGUUACCGACAGAAUAAGCACCGGCUAACUUCGUGCCAGCAGCCGCGGUAAUACGAAGGGUGCAAGCGUUAAUCGGAAUUACUGGGCGUAAAGCGCGCGUGGGUGGUUUUGUAAGUUGGAGGUGAAAUCCCCGGGCUCAACCUGGGAACUGCCUCCAAAACUGCAUGACUAGAGUACGGUAGAGGGUAGUGGAAUUUCCUGUGUAGCGGUGAAAUGCGUAGAUAUAGGAAGGAACACCAGUGGCGAAGGCGACUACCUGGACUGAUACUGACACUGAGGUGCGAAAGCGUGGGGAGCAAACAGGAUUAGAAACCCUUUAGUCC